UGCGGUUAAACAAAAGUUAAAUUAAAUUUUUUUAAGGUUUAAUAAAUAAAAUUUUAAUAAUAAAAUAAAUAUUAAAUUAUUAAGUGAAAUUUUAAUUUAAUUAAAAUUUAUUAUUUUUUUUUGAUAUUAAUAAAUUUUAUUUAAAACUAGGAUUAGAUACCCUAUUAUUGAAAUUUAAAAUUUUAAUCUUAAAAUAGUAGAUAUAUUUAUAUUGAAACUUAAAUAAUUUGGCGGUAUUUUAGUUCAUUUAGAGGAAUCUGUUUAUUAAUUGAUAAUCCACGAAUAAAUUUACUUAAUUUAUAUAAUUUUGUAUAUCGUUGUUAUAAAAAUAUUUUUUAGUAAAAAUAAUAUUUUAAAUUUAAAAUAAAAAAUUAAAUCAGAUCAAGAUGCAGAUUAUAAUUAAGAAUAUAAUGGAUUACAAUAAAUUUUAUUUUUUGGAUGUUAAUUUUAAAAAUUAAUUGAAAUUGGAUUUAAAUGUAAUUUUAUUUAUAUUUUUAAAAUGAUUAAAAAUUAAAAUAUGUACAUAUUGCCCGUCGCUUUCAUGUAUAAAUUGAAAUAAGUCGUAACAAAGUAGAGGUACUGGAAAGUGUUUCUAGAAAGA
rnacentral:rRNA from 1 species